GCAGUACUAGUACUGUGCUCCAAGAAAGGCAGGUUUAUACUUAGCUGUGGUCCUCAGUGGAGUCCCCAGACCUGCAAUAUCUGGGAACAGCUAAGAAAUUCAAAUUCUCAGGCUCCAGUGCAGACUUAAGAGAUCAGAAACUCUAUCUAGGGGUGGAGUUAGCAAUCUGGACUGUGACCAGCCCUCCAGGUGAUUGUGAGAAUGCAUCCUAAGACAGAGAACCACAGAGCCACAGAAAGAAGAGGCCCUGUGAAGGGAGACCCGAGGGUAUGGAGAGUUGUUGGCUCCAGCUUGGGCGCACUCGUUCUCUCUUUCUGUUUCUUUCUUCCCUCUUCCCUUCUGUUCUCUUUUCCCCUUCCGCCUCCUCUUCCUCCCCCUCCUCCUCCUCUUCCUCCUCCCCCUCCUCCUCCUCCUUCUUCUUCUUCUUCUCUCUCUCUCUCCCUUUCUCCCUCCCUCCCUCCCUCCCUCCCUCCUCUCUCUCCUGUCUGCUGUCAUUGGGAAGCUGUGUGGUCAGCCAGUCAAAAAGCAGAUUUCAGAGUCAGGAGUUCCAGGGUUCACAGUUGAGCUCCAUUCCCUACUGGGUGACUGAGGGCAGUUUCUAAACUUCUCUGAUCCUGUUCUGCCCUCUGAAGAAGGGGAAAAUAAUACAUCCUGUGUACGAUUGUUAUUGGGAAUCAAUGAGCUAGUGUAUGGAAGAGGCUGCAUGUGGUUCUUGGUACAAAGAAGCAGAUUAUUAUCAGUUACAUGUAGGUGAGGCAUCCAAAAUGCUAGGAGAAAAAACCUGAGCCUUUACACGGUAUCGCUGUGUCCAUUGUUACCUUAUCAACUCCCAUAGCAUGCUCACUUUUUUUCAUAGAAAUUGUCUAUUUUCCAUGAUUAUUCAGUGAAUCCACAACAAUCUCAUUCUUGGUUAGGGACUCAUUAAAGUGUUAUCAGUCUUAUGGAAUUAUUUAAAACCUGUGAACUCCCCCAAAUAAUGCUUGAGGGUUCCAACCUUCCCUGCCCCCUCACAAUACAGCUUCAGAAGCUGAUUUGAUCAAGUGAAACCACUGUGCCUCCUACUUCAUUUUCCCGGGUUUGCUGCUUUUCUAAGUAUGUCUCACAAAAUGUAUGCUGCUCUUUUUUUCUUUUAGUCUUCAUAUUGUAUAUUAGAUCCCUAGACUUCUUUGUUCUACACAUCUGCUGCUCUGUAUUCUGACCUACAUCUGCAUACUGCUUUAAUAGAAUGGAUGUUUGCAGACGUGACUGUGAUAUUGGAAUAUGGAAGGAUCCAUCCAGGGUCAGGAAGCAGCAGGCUGGCUUCAUUCUCAGUGUUUGUUUUCUGGGUCUUUGAAGGAGAGGUGUUGCAGGGAAAAAGGUCGUGCAUCAGGAAGUGUCAUUUAAAAAGGACCUGAGUUGGGCUGAGUUAUCAGCAAAUACACGCCAUGGCUGUGCUCCCCACCCCCCACCGUACACUAGCAGGGCAGCAGCUCUGAUUGUCUAACGAGCAGCAGAGCCGCCCAGCAGCAACCACAUUAGGAAGGAAUCGGAAACCAACGCUCCGCUGGCUGUCACCCCUUACCCACUUGCUGUCAGACCACAGCCUGAGGCAGCCAAACCCAUUUCCUUGGGGAUCCAGCGCAAACCAGAGAGUGUGGACAGGCCGAUGGAAGAAUGUUGGACCAGCUUUAAGAAUGGGCUGUUCUAAGUCAUGAAUAUUGUAGGAAGCAGCUCUAAGGACCACAGGGCUGGAGGGUGCACAGGAAGGGGCCAGUGCAUACAGACAAAAUAUUACUCUGUCACCCAGACUGGAGUCCAGUGGUGUGAUCUCAGCUCACUGCAACCUCCGCCCCCUCAAGUCCAAGCCACUCUCAUGCCUCAGUCUCCUGAGUAGCUGGGAUUACAGGCACCCACCACCACGUCUGGCUAAUUUUUGUAUUUUUAGUAGAGACAGGGUUUUGCCAUCUUGGCCAGCCUGGUCUCGAACUCCUGGCCUCAAGUGAUCUGUCCACCUCAGCCUCCCAAAGUGCUGGGAUUACAGAUGUGAGCCACCACACCUGGCCUAAAAUGUCAUAUAUUUUGAACUGACUGACUUCUCCAAAAACUUAUGGUUAUUAGUUGAGAGAGAAAACUUGAGAGAAAGUUUCCCUGCACUUGGAUGAGAGGAGAGCGGAACAGCCUGCAUCUCUGGUGCUGGGGAGUAUCAAAUAAGGGGAAUUGGGAGAAGGAUGGAGGCAACAGCGUAGCUCUUUGCCUUUCAAAAUUAAAAUGGGAUGCUGCUUUAUAUUACAAAUCUAAGGAAUUAGAAGAGCAGCAAACUAAGCAACUAAGUUUGUUCUCCUUGCAUAAACUUUAAAAAGCCAGCUUAAAAGUUCUCAAGCUUAAAAUUCG
rnacentral:lncRNA from 1 species